UAACACGUGAGCAACCUGCCUCUCAGAGGGGGAUAACGUUUGGAAACGAACGCUAAUACCGCAUGAAAUAUUGGCAUCGCAUGGUGCUGAUAUCAAAGGAGCAAUCCGCUGAGAGAUGGGCUCGCGUCCGAUUAGAUAGUUGGCGGGGUAACGGCCCACCAAGUCGACGAUCGGUAGCCGGACUGAGAGGUUGAACGGCCACAUUGGGACUGAGACACGGCCCAGACUCCUACGGAAGGCAGCAG
rnacentral:rRNA from 1 species